rnacentral:rRNA from 1 species
AUUAGGUAGUUGGUGGGGUAAAGCCUACCAAGCCGACAAUCUGUAGCUGGUCUGAGAGGACGCCCACCCACACUGGGAUUGAGACACGGCCCGGACUCUUACGGGAGGCAGCAGUGGGGAAUUUUGGACAAUGGGCGCAAGCUUGAUCCAGCCAUUCCGCGUGCAGGAUGAAGGCCCUCGGGUUGUAAACUGCUUUUGUACGGAACGAAAAGGCGCGGGUUAAUACCCUGUGCUGAUGACGGUACCGUAAGAAUAAGCACCGGCUAACUACGUGCCAGCAGCCGCGGUAAUACGUAGGGUGCGAGCGUUAAUCGGAAUUACUGGGCGUAAAGCGUGCGCAGGCGGUUAUGUAAGACAGGUGUGAAAUCCCAGGGCUUAACCUUGGAACUGCAUUUGUGACUGCAUAGCUAGAGUACGGUAGAGGGGGAUGGAAUUCCGCGUGUAGCAGUGAAAUGCGUAGAUAUGCGGAGGAACACCGAUGGCGAAGGCAAUCCCCUGGACCUGUACUGACGCUCAUGCACGAAAGCGUGGGGAGCGAACAGGAUUAGAUACCCUGGUAGUCCACGCCCU